rnacentral:tRNA from 1 species
AUUUAUAUAGUAUAAUUAUUAUAAUUGAUUUCCAAUCAAAAGAUCUAAAAAUUCUUUUAGUAUAAAUA